rnacentral:lncRNA from 1 species
CUGCAGGCCUGCAUGCAUAAUCUCACACCCCCUCCCAGGCAAAGGCAUUUGUAUCAAAGGAUGGGUGCCCCAAUCGCUGUCCCUGGAUGGCUGUGGGCGUCUGUGCUGGGGAAGGUGAGGGGGGCACCUAUGAGGGCUGUGCCGCGGCCCCUCCGCCGCUUUCGCCUUUUUCCCCCCUCUGCGUGGCGCGCGCUGCGCUGCUGAUUGGCUGGGCCUUCUCCUCAGGGCGGCGGGCGCCAUUUUGGCCGCCUGCAGCCUCGUGGUGGGGUGGAUUUGUUCUUUUCGCUCUGCCCGUUUUCCCCGACGAGAGAGCGGCUGCUGGGGACAGUGCUUCGCCUGAGCGCCGCGGGACGCAGCUGUGAGGCGUAACGUGCCAUUGCCAUGGAACUGACUGCCUGCAGAGAGAUCUUCAGACAAGCUGUCUGCAUGCCCUUUUCAGUAGUGCUCAGAAUUCCUCUUCCUAGAGGCCUAUCCAGGUAGGACCAACUCUGGAAGCAAAACACACUGACAGCAGUUGCUCUCAUCUUUCCACCCACUGAAGCCAAUUCUAUCUGGCUUUGAGAAGCAGCUGCUUUUCCUUCCCUUUCCUCCCUCUACCCCUAG